GGCUGCCCCUUGGCAUAUGGAGUUCCCCUGCCAGGGACUGUAUCCUAGUCACAGUUGCGACAUAUGCCACAGCUGCAGCAAUGCCAGAUUCUUUAAACCCACUGAGCCAGACUGGGAUUGAACCCAUGUCCUGGCACUACAGAAAUGCCACCAAUCUCCACAGUGGGAACUCCCUCAAAUAAAUAUAUUUGAAUGAACAAAUCUAUUAUUUGAUCUUCUAUUAUUCCUACUGUUCUGUUAGAGUCUAAGAAACCAAAUGUCUCUACUCUUAAAAAAAAAAAAAUCCCUAAAUUUCAGAUAGCUGACAGCCUAAAUGGCUGGUCUUUCAUUUACAAUUCAUUUGUUGCCCAGCCCACAUUAUCAUUUUAUUUAACUAAUCUCUCAAAAAUGACAGGAAAUUACUGAAAACCACUCACCUCUCUUGAAUUCUCCUGAUAUAGACCCAGAGUGAAAAAAUACACAAAUAUUGCUCUCCCAGGGGGAAGCAAUCCCCACCUUAGAUACUGUCAGAUGGAUGACAUUAUGAUUCCUAGGCACAGGAAAUCCAUCAUCUUCAACUUUUCAUCUACCCAGGAUCAGACAGUGGUAAUAAUUCUAAGGAACUGUGCUUCAACUCCAGCUGCAUAUCCAAUUUCCACUUAUAAGAUUUAACCUGGAAAUUAUCAACGGCAACCACAGGGGAAAAAUGAACAGCUGAUUUGAGAUGUAUAGUGGGAGAAGGCAGCAAGAAGAAAAGGCAAAUGUUCCACAUGGAAAACUGGAAGAAAGGAUGCCCUUGUAGGGAUGAAAUGUGCUUAUAGGAAGACAAAUGAAAUGAAAGAACAUCACAUGCAAUAGAAGCUGCCUCUGGGAGGUUUGAUUGAAAGGUGGUAAGAGGUCUAAGCAGCAGGAGGAGAGUAAGACUGAAUCGUGUUUUCAAUGAAAAAAAAAAAUCAAAGGAAAGUUGGUUCAGAGAGAAAAGUCUAUUUACUUGGGGUGCAGAUGUAGCAAGAAAGUAGACUCCAACUUUAUUUAUUUAUUUAUUUAGUCUUUUUUAGGGCCACACCUAUGGCAUAUGGAGGUUCAAAGGCUAGGGGUCCAAUCAGAGCUGUAACUGACAGCCUACGCCAGAGCCACAGCAAUGCAGGAUCCAAGCUGCAUCUGCGACCUACACUGCAACUCACGGCAACGCCAGAUCCUUAACCCACUGAGUGUUGGCAGGGAUCGAAACUGCAACCUCAUGGUUACUAGUCGGGUUCAUUAAUCACUGAGCCAUGACAGGAACUCCUAGAUUCCAACUUUAAAACAUUCAAGGCAGGAGUUCCUUGGUAAGCUAGGGGUUAAGGAUCUGGCAUUGUCACUACUGUGAAGAUUAAAGACAUCAUAUCUUCCCUGCAAAAGAUUAAGUUCUGGGGGCACACAAGGCAGCUGAGGGAUACAGGAACAAACUUUGUCAUGGGAAUCAAAGCACUUCCAUUACUCCUGGGAAAGCUACGCUCUCGGCUGCUCAAGAACAAUAACCCCUUAAUGAAUUGAUCUUGUCUGUAUUCUGUCACUCUGUCUUCACAACACUCUGUGGGCUAAGCACUGCUGUCUCCCACUGCACUGGCCACAAAACUGAGGACAUGGGAUAUCUACACACAUCGCAGAGACAAAGAUCAAAGGAACUGGGGUUUGAACACAGCAUUGGCUCCAAAAUCUGUGUUCUUUCCACUACAUCAUUUAUCUCUGUGGUUAACCUAGCCAAAACAAUACCUGGCAAAUCUAUCAAGUACAAAGACUCCCUCUCUAUCUUCUCUGAGAACACGUAGCUUUCAAACCUUUUCUGGCAGGAUUAGAAAUUUAUUUCCAAGGUGGGUAACUUGGGGAGGGAAUGAAGCACAUGUUUUGUUCUUCUUGAGAGCACUUGACUGUUAACAUGUGCUACCCUGUAGCCUGAAGAUUGAAGAAUGAAUAAAAAAAUCCCAAGAAUAAUCAAGUCAGGGAAGGAACCAAGAUGAAGAAGGGAAGUAUCUAAGGUAAGGAACAUGAGUCUCUAAAAACUCUGCACUAGUAGCACAGGGAUAAAGCCCAAGGGUCUCCAUCAGGAAGCAGGUCCAGGAGGCAGGAUGGCAGAGGCUUCUCUUUGUGGCAGUAGAGUAGCACCUCCACAGGAAUUGGUCCCCAGCAGCAUUGGCCAUCCCUACCCAGUCUAUUUUCUGCAACAGUGUUCAUCUGGAGGCUGCUGACCAAGCUGCAGCUCAGAGGAAACUUGUCACAGCCUAGAGCUCGGCCACAACGCUAGGAGGCAGCAGAGUACCAGUAAGGGAACUCUCUUCAAUUAACUUUAGUUCUGGAAGUAUUUAUUACCUAGGGAACAUGUCAUUCUGCUGGAGUUGGGAAUACAGGAAGAACUAGAAAUCAUAGCCUUGACCAUUAACGGAUGUACAGGUUCAUGGAGGGCAUAAGAGAAAUAAAUCCAGUCGAUUUUUAAAGGGAAAUGAGGAGUGUUCCAGAGAUAGUGACACUGAGAGUAUGUUUUAGGAAAUAAAGACCAAAGCAAGCUACUUAGCUAAGGAAAACUUUGUGGAACAGGUGGACUUUGAGACGAUUGGGACAAGAAAGGGGGAAGAUCUUUGGUGAAGAACAAAGGUCAAAUGAGCCUAGGAAAGAUGGAGGUGGAGGAGGCUGCAUGCAAGCAGACCAGACUUACUCAGAGGUGCAUCUAUUACCUAACAGCUCAGGGCUACAGGUGCACAGUCACCAUUUAAUCUGACUCUCACAAUAACUGUGUUAAAGGAAGUACUCUGUUUAUCCCUGUUAGAAAGAGAAUCUCAGAGAUGGUUCCCCUAAUAGGCAAGAAUCAGAGCCAGAAAACUGAAAGAUCACUGACAUCAUUCUUCAAGGGUCUACAGGGGUCAGAUGCAAAUGAGACAAAAUAAGACAUUUUCUCUGACUUCAGGAAGCAUACAGCUUAUCUGUGGGACGAGACAAAUUAAGCAGGGUUUUUAAACCUGGUCUAAUGAAUCAUGGCAAUCAAUUCAGUCUGGGUCUUUGUUUAUAAAAGACCCUGUAUGACACCUGAAAUGAGUCUUGAAAAAUAAAGAGAAGACAAGUCAUAGACCAGGAGAAAAUAUUUACAAAAAAAAUGGGGGCUAAUAUUUUUAAAAAAUAAGGGGGGGUUAAUAUUCAAAAUACACCAAAAAACUUCUAAAAAUUAAGAAAACAAAUAAUCUACUUUAAAAAACUGGCCAAAGACCUUAAGGGAUACCUCAUCAAAAAAGACACACAUAUAGCAUGUAAGCACAUGAAAGGAUUGUCCACAUCAUAUGUAAUCAAGGAAAUACAAAUUAAAACCAUAGUAAGAUAUCACUAUAUCUAUCAAAUGACCAAAAUCCAGGAUACUGACAACACCAAAUGCUGGCCAGAAUGUGGCAUAGCAGGAACUUUCAUACUUUGCUGGCACGAAGACAACAUGGUACAGCCACUUUGGAAGACAGUUUGGUGAUGUCUCUCUUCAUCCUCACUCCCAGGCUGUCUCCCUAUUGGUAAGACCAUGCUUUCCAGGAUAUUAUCUACUCCCUCACUACCCCAACUCUAAGAGCCUUUGUGUAUCACUAGUGACUCUGAAGCAUAAAGAUGAAUCCAGAUGUCUCUUGGACCAGGAUCAUGGUAGCCAUCUUUGCCUUCUCACUUCCUAUUUAUAUAAACACAUGUUCAAAGCCCUGCUUAGAAGUGAGGCUUUAAAUUGGUUGUCUCUUCUUCUCAAGUUAACGUGGGAAGUACCCAGAGAUGGGACAUGAGUUUUGCCAGUGGCUCUCUAAGUGUAGUUCUAUCCCUUGCUAUGGAUUCCCUCCCUGUCAUAGACACUGAUGAAGAGCCAGUGAGGGAAUCUGGGCCAACAAGAAUAAGUUAUUCCUCCCCCCAAAUCCACCCACUCUUUUCAUGCAUGUGUACGCUACUAAGUGAACGUUCCCUGGAGGCCCCCAAAGUGACCCAAAUGAAAACUUAAUGUAGUCAUAAUCCUUCUCCUUCUCCCUCCCCUGCUAACCCAAGAUCAAUGUAGUCAGUGAGAAAAUUAAAUGUUACUUGCUUUGAUUUAUAUUCUUAGACUUUAAUGUUCUUCUGCUUAAUAAGUAUUCUCCCGUCCCCCUUUUAAAGCUACAAAUGAAAGUGUUUUUAACACAUCUCUCUAACUAAACAAGAUGUUUCACAUUGAAACCCCACCCCUUCUUAGAGUCUACUUUCAUAUACGUGCCAGAGCAGAAAUGAGUUCAAUGUUUUUCUUCCCUCCAUUACAAACAUGUGGUAUAACAGAACAUUCAGGCAUGGAGAGAAGUGAAGUCAAUUCAUUCUACCUCUUGGGGGUUGCUGCCCUCUUAAGUCCCUGAACUCAAAGACCUCACAGCCACCAAUUUUAUGUGUUUUCAGCACCACUUGAAAAGAAGCUCCUGAAGUGAAGUAGAUGAUUAGGAACAACCCACUUCUUCAGAGACUCACCAACCUAGAUCUCCAGGCUUGUUCCAGGAAUAGAAAUACGUUUAUGAAAGCAAUUUCUUGAUAUCUCACUGAUCCUCACAAUUAGCCCAUUAUUAGUCAUCCCAUUGCAAAGAAGAGUGAGGGAAGGAGUAGAGAGAAAGUAAGUGACUUGCUCAGUUGUCCACAGAAAUAUGUCAGGGCCAAGAUCAGAACUCAAGUGUCUCCACCACUGCAAUCUCUCUAUUACUGAUAAAAGACUAUGUCAGUGGAAUAUUGUUCUAUAUCUGAAAAAACAUCACUGCUUCUGAGCAUAGUGAUGUGAUAGAAUGAUGAACACAGCAAGUUGGAAUUCCCAUCAUGGCUCAGCAGGUUAAGGACCUGACCUCUCCUUGAGCAUGUGAGUUUGACCCCUGGCCUCACUCAGUGGAUUAAGGAUCUGUCGUUGCCACAAGAUGCAGCAUAGGUCACAGAUGAGGCUCAGAUCCAGCAUUGCUGUGGCUGUGGCAUAGGCCUCAGCUGCAGCUGCAAUUUGACUCCUUGCCUGGGAACUUCCAUAUGCUGCAAGUGUGAACCUAAAAAGAAAAAAAAAAAAAAAAAAAGAAUUCAGCAAGAUGUUCCUCACUCUACCAACCCCACUACAUGAAUCCCACCUUGUGCUGGCUUCCCAGGGAGAUUAACCAUAUGAAUAUACUGAUAAUAAAUAUCUCUGCUUCAGCUCAAUAGUGCUUUAUAGUUGUAAGGUAUUUCCCAUGUUUUAUCUCAUGUAACCCUGAGAGCAACUGUACUGAAGUCCAGCUAGGCAUUCCCAUUUGCUUCCUCCUCACCUCCCUUGCCACCCUGUUUUGGCCCUGGGAAACCAAUCUCUGGACCACACCAUGAGGUCCCUGCACUGUGAACACUGGUCUGCUUCUGCAACAGGAAGACACCAACAGGAGAUGCAAGGACAAGAGGAGAGAGUGUUCAGUGAAUGUGGUCACCAGUUCCUUUGCCCCAGUGGGUCAAUGCAUGACUGACUGUGCUCCCCAAAAGAGGUGACAUUUUCUGCCCAGCAGUCCACUCCUACCCUCUUCUACAGUGACAGCCUCAGCAACUUCAGCAUUCCAAUGACUACAGAUCUGAUGGUAAAGGUGUAUCACUAUGAUGGAAAGCCCUCAAAUAACCACUAAAGGCUGGUAUGUUUGUUACUUAUGCAUGUGUCAAACUCAAAUGCAUAUAUGUAUAUAUGCAUAUACACAUACUCAAAUGCAUAUAUGCAUAUAUACUCAAAAAAAAUACACUUAAAAAUACAAACAUACACAUACACACACAACUAGUGCUUUUCUGAUUGAACCAUGAUCUGGCUGAUACAUAGGGGAUCAACUGGCUGAGGAAUUUCCCCAUAGAGUCACAGCCAAAGCCAGCUAUAAAAUUUGCAGGGGCCAAUGCAAAAUGAAAAUGCAGCUUCUUUGUUCCAAAAGCAGAGGAAAAAGCAUUUUCUUUUCUUCUGUGGCCUCUUUCU
rnacentral:lncRNA from 1 species